ensembl:lncRNA
AUGUCAAUGCAGUCUUUCACCCUACCUCACACCCUCCCUCUCUCUUGUCUCCCUCUCAGCAUACUUGUGCAGUGUCCUCCCCAUCGCUUUACUUCUUUCCCCAUUCCCGCUUCGUUUCCCCCAUCCGCACUCCCAGUGUCAUCUGACCCUCUCUUCCAAAUCGAGUCACCCGCUUUGCUUUCACAUGAAACACUCGGGAGGAAGAGGAUGACAGAAGCAGACGUCCACUCGUGUGACCGAGGCAAUUCUGGGAUUAUGUGCGGUCAAUUACUGUCGCUUUCUUACCGCCUAAUGGAAUUACACUGUCUGGCAGGCUCACACGCAACAGGUAACAUGCAGGCUUCUAAACACCUAACCCAACCAGAGGAGAGAUGAGGCAUCUAGAUGUUGGUGUACCAUGAGCAGCGUCCACUUCAACCACUCCCUUGCUGCCAUGAGCGGGAACGACGUGAUGGCGCACUCUCUGACUCUGGAGCAGAAGACAGCCUUUGCCUUCGUGGGGAUGCUAAUGGUGUUCUUGGGGCUGCUGAUAGUGAGGUGUUUCAGGAUCCUGCUGGACCCCUACAGCAGCAUGCCCUCCUCCAACUGGGCCGAUGGUAUCGAGGGGCUGGAGAAAGGGACGUUUGAGUAUGCCCUUACCUAGCACAGGGACACAGAUUGGACACGUCCUCAACCAACAGAAAUGCGUGUCCCGCGUACACGCAGAGACCUGUGCAGAACCACCUGACACUCCUUUAUGACAUCUGCGUGAUGCACUGAGCCAAGGCGCUGAAGCUGUAGGUGUUCCACAUGUGUGCUUUGUUAGCUCAGAGUCUCUCACCUGUAUGUGAUUACACAUUGGCUGUGUGUACGACUGAGCGUGAGGCAGAUGCUGUGUCAUGUUCUCUGCUCUUCUGCCAGGAGCUCUGUGCUUCAGCUCAUCGAUUGGCACAGAGCUUGGCAGAAGUUCCCUUUAACCUGUACCCACAAGGUUAAUGUCUUCAGAUGAUAAAAGAAGGUUGUUUAUAAGCGGGUCUCUUCAGCGAUGUUUUGAAGACUCAGGGUGAAGAUUCCUUCAAUGAACUCAGAAUAGCGGACGGAGCGAUGGCACAUCUGCACAGCAGAACCGCUCAGCACAUGAAUGUAUGCGAAUGGAUACAGGGUAUUAAGUCUACCUAGAGCUUUGUGCACUUUCAGAUUCGUUGGCGAUCCAGAGGAAAACCUCGGCUGCCGCUCCUGCAGACCGAUCCGUUCUUGUGCUGUUGCAUUUUCGGAAGUCAUGCAGAGACAGGCAGCUGAACAUACUGUGAUUUAUAUAAAGGUGGUACUUUUUCUAAACAAUGCAAAAUCAACUCUCAGAGUUUUUACUGCUGCUGCUUUCGAGUGAUGGUACACUGUAUGCUGCCAAAACUACACAAUGGAGAGAUUGGGAAAAAAAAAAAAGACGAGGAACCCUUUUUUUUAUUUUUUGACAGCAUGUUUAAAAAAAAUGUUGCAUCCUGAUGUUUAUUCUACUGUCUUAAGACUGGGGUGACACAAAAGAGUUUUUAACGGAAUCUUGGAAAGAAAAAGACUUUAUUCUCAGCACUCAACACAAAUUUCCAACACUUCCAAAGCAGAAAGGGUAACCAGACAAACAAAUGGGAUAUAUGUGGAUUUCUCGACCUCUGUCACCUCCUCCUUUCCUUCCAGACAGAGGAAGCAGGAGCUUCCUGAACACUGAUUCACGAUACAGCAGACUGCUCAACACCUGGACUGUUCCUUUGCUAAUUUUUACUAUCUACAGUUUCUCCUUAGUGCUGUGAAUCUGCCUUACUGUGACCUUCAAUGGGUUUAUGUGCCUUCAUCUAAAAACAUUAGAGCACCUGUUUAUGUGUGUGCGUGUGGGUCGUAUCAUGACAGACUUGUUGCUUGUGGUAGAGAUUUCAUAUUAAUUUCAUGUGUGAAAUAAAAAAAACAAGGUUUUUCUUCACAAGUGUCUUUGCAUCUCAAAUGUUCACUUCAGCAGAAGGUACAUUUAAUUUUUACCAAAACAUUUGUACAACAUGACUGCUGGAAGAGGAGGAAGCAUGACUAAAAUAAAGCCCUGCUUGGGCUUCCUG